rnacentral:rRNA from 1 species
AGUCAUAUGCUUGUCUCAAAGAUUAAGCCAUGCAUGUCUCAGUAUAAGCUAUUUUACGGUGAAACUGCGAAUGGCUCAUUAAAACAGUUAUAGUUUAUUUGAUGAUCGAUUGCUACAUGGAUAACCAUGGUAAUUCUAGAGCUAAUACAUGCGCCCAAACCCAACUUUGUGGAAGGGUUGUGUUUAUUAGGUACAGAACCAACCCAGGCUCUGCCUGGUCUUCUGGUGAUUCAUGAUAACCGAACGAAUCGCAUGGCGUCAGCCGGUGAUGAAUCAUUCAAGUUUCUGACCUAUCAGCUUCCGACGGUAGGGUAUUGGCCUACCGUGGUAAUGACGGGUA